rnacentral:lncRNA from 1 species
AACGUAUUUAUAUUCUUGUCUUAAUACCAAGCUUUCUCGUCCGCAACCCCUCCUCCAUCCGCUCUCUCUCUCCUCCCCCCUCCACCCACUCGCCGAGCUCGAAACCCUAGAUCCCCCUAAAGCCCGUGAUUCUCCAUGCUCUUACCCUCAGUUGGGCUCCGAUUCGCGCCCCUCCCACUCUCCAAUCUCGCCUGCUGGUUCUCCUUCGCGUCUCCUUUCCGUCCGUUCCGUUCU